rnacentral:rRNA from 1 species
GAUGAACGCUGGCGGCGUGCCUAAUACAUGCAAGUCGAGCGAACAGACGAGGAGCUUGCUCCUCUGACGCUAGCGGCGGACGGGUGAGUAACACGUGGAUAACCUACCUAUAAGACUGGGAUAACUUCGGGAAACCGGCGCUAAUACCGGAUAAUAUAUUGAACCGCAUGGUUCAAUAGUGAAAGACGGUUUUGCUGUCACUUAUAGAUGGAUCCGCGCCGCAUUAGCUAGUUGGUAAGGUAACGGCUUACCAAGGCAACGAUGCGUAGCCGACCUGCGAGGGUGAUCGGCCACACUGGAACGGAGACACGGUCCAGACUCCUACGGGAGGCAGCAGUAGGGAAUCUUCCGCAAUGGGCGAAAGCCUGACGGAGCAACGCCGCGUGAGUGAUGAAGGUCUUCGGAUCGUAAAACUCUGUUAUUAGGGAAGAACAAAUGUGUAAGUAACUAUGCACGUCUUGACGGUACCUAAUCAGAAAGCCACGGCUAACUACGUG